CUGUUCACUUGCUGCAGAGAAGCGGUGCUGACAGGUUACUGUAGAGAGCAGAGAGCUGUUGGUCACAUUGAGACAACAAGGGAAAGCACUUGGAAUAUAAACAGUGAGAUCUAGUCUAAAAAUGAAGUGUUGGAGAUGGAUUUGAAUUUGAACUGUUUGCUCUGUUUCUUCUGUGUGCAUCCCCUGUGUGCAUCUGACUCAAGUCCCUUUGGCACAGGAACAGGGUGGCAGGAACUGACCCCUGGCUGCUGAACGUACAGAGGGGAGAGUUGAGGACAUUUAAACCCCAAAACUGCACCUGGUUGUUGACCUCCAAACUGACCAUUCCUUUUCUGCUGCAUAUGUCUUUCAGUGGCUGUUGGGUAGCCUGAUUCUUAUUUUGCAAAUGGAGGAUAUCUGUAGCCUAAGAGCUACAAGAAGGCUGCAUUCUCUGAAGACCAGAGAAGUUAACUCCCCUAAAGAAAAGAAAAAACAACGCUGUUUCAUGAAUCAUGAGUCUAAUGAGCCCAGGACACCUCCAGCAUGUCAUCCAGCCAGAGGUACAGACCUCUGGGUCCUGCAGGGAUUGUUACCAUUAACCGCUGAGCAGUGGUACCAUGAUGAGCCUGGCAUUACCUGCAGGUAGAGAUGACAAGAAGGGGAAAUUUUCUGGCAGAAUGAGUCUAGGUUUGUGCUUCAAGGGGUGAAGGCUGUAGACUGCACAUCGGAGGAUGAUUCUUUCAAGGAAAGUGUUGGCAACUGCACAGAAAAGGAAAUGUUCUUACACAAAAAUUUUCAACCUUUUCCUUUCAUUCAUUGUGUAAACUUUACCUCCAACACUCAGCUUACACCUCUUAUCAUGCUGGACCACAGCUAAGGGAGAAGGUGAUAGCUGAAAAUCAAAUCAGAUAAAGAAAGAAGCAAUUGCUUGGGUCAAAGAAUCAGAGCUUCUGAUUCUGUGCCUGCUGCCUUGGCUGAGCAUCUUUUUUCUCUGUUCAUUGUUCAGCUGGGAAUCUUAUUAAUCUCACACAGUUUCUUUAAGUACACAUAAUGGCAAUGGCAAAAAAUUUGUUUUGGAUUUUUGCAAAGAGCUGUGUUUGAGGUUACUGUUGAUAACUGCUCAGAUAUCUGGUGCUUAACAUAUUAUAGUAUGAUGGUGAGUACAUCCUUAAAGUCCACAAUUAGUCCAAAUUAAUUGCUAGUCUUUGGCUUUAAUAUCUCAAUAAUUACAGUCCUUUCUGGGUGUUAAUAAAUAGAUAAGCUGUAAACAU